rnacentral:rRNA from 1 species
AAAACAUGUCUUUUUGAGUUAUAUUUAAAGUCUGACCUGCCCACUGAAAUUAUUUAAAUGGCCGCAGUAUUUUAACUGUGCAAAGGUAGCAUAAUCAUUAGUCUUUUAAUUGAAGGCUGGUAUGAAUGGUUGGACGAAGUAUAAGCUGUUUCAUAUAAAUUUAUAGUAGAAUUUUAUAUUUUAGUUAAAAAGCUAAAAUUUAGUUAAAAGACGAGAAGACCCUAUAAAUCUUUAUAUUUUAUGUUGUUUUAAUUUUUUAGAUUUAUUUUAUUUUUAUAGUUUAGAAUAUUUUGUUGGGGUGAUAUUAAAAUUUAAUGAACUUUUAAUUAUUUAGAAUCAUUAAUUUAUGUUUUAUUGAUCCGUUAAUAGUGAUUAUAAGAUCAAGUUACUUUAGGGAUAACAGCGUAAUUUUUUUGGAGAGUUCAUAUCGAUAAAAAGGGUUGCGACCUCGAUGUUGGAUUAAGAAAUAUUUUUAGGUGUAGUUG